rnacentral:rRNA from 1 species
UAAACGACUCUUGGCAACGGAUAUCUCAGCUCUCGAAUCGAUGAAGAACGUAGCGAAAAGCGAUACUUGGUGUGAAUUGCAUAAUCCCGUGAACCAUCGAGUCUUUGAACGCAAGUUGUGCUCGAAGUCGUUAGGCCGAGGGCACAUCUGCCUGAGCGUCACAC